AUUGAACGCUGGCGGCAGGCCUAACACAUGCAAGUCGAACGAGUGGCGGACGGGUGCGUAAUGUCUGGGAAACUGCCUGAUGGAGGGGGAUAACUACUGGAAACGGUAGCUAAUACCGCAUACCAUCAGAUGUGCCCAGAUGGGAUUAGCUAGUUGGUGGGGUAACGGCGAACCAAGGCGACGAUCCCUAGCUGGUCUGAGAGGAUGACCAGCCACACUGGAACUGAGACACGGUCGAGACUCCUACGUGAGGCAGCAUGGGGGAAUAUUGCACAAGGGGAGCAAGCCUGAGGCAGCCAUGCCGAGUGGAUGAAGAAGGCCUUCGGGUUGUAAAGUACUUUCAGCGGGGAGGCGUUACCCGAAGAAGAAGCACCGGCUAACUCCGAGCCAGCAGCCGCGGUAAUUC
rnacentral:rRNA from 1 species